rnacentral:rRNA from 1 species
GAUGAACGCUGGCGGCGUGCCUAAUACAUGCAAGUCGAGCGAACAGAUGAGGAUCUUGCUCCUCUGACGUUAGCGGCGGACGGGUGAGUAACACGUGGAUAACCUACCUAUAAGACUGGGAUAACUUCGGGAAACCGGAGCUAAUACCGGAUAAUAUAUUGAACCGCAUGGUUCAAUAGUGAAAGACGGUUUUGCUGUCACUUAUAGAUGUAUCCGCGCCGCAUUAGCUAGUUGGUAAGGUAACGGCUUACCAAGGCGACGAUGCGUAGCCGACCUGAGAGGGUGAUCGGCCACACUGGAACUGAGACACGGUCCAGACUCCUACGGGAGGCAGCAGUAGGGAAUCUUCCGCAAUGGGCGAAAGCCUGACGGAGCAACGCCGCGUGAGUGAUGAAGGUCUUCGGAUCGUAAAACUCUGUUAUUAGGGAAGAACAAAUGUGUAAGUAACUAUGCACGUCUUGACGGUACCUAAUCAGAAAGCCACGGCUAACUACGUG